CCGGCCGUCCCCGCUCGCCCCGAGCGCGCCGGCCGCCGGAGAGCGCCACCUCAGGCUUCCCGCUCCGGGGGCUGGGCGGGGGCCGGCGGGCCGGGAAGUCUGGCCUGCCCAGGGGAACCCGGCCCGCGGGAAUAGCCUGUUUACUCGUUUCUGGUGCCUGGGGCGAGAGGGCGCGGGACCGGCGAGCCGGGCGCGGCCCAAGCCCCGGGCGGCCAGGCUGGGCCAGGGGAGGUCCCGCGUCGGCGUCGGGCCGACCCUCACCCAGCCCCACCCCACCCCCAGCACCCCGUAUCCUGAGCCUUCCCGCCCCUCGGUGGUGGUCGCCCAGUCCCCAGCGGACGUCCCGGGACCGCUUUCCAGACCGCUCGUCGUCUGGACCGGCCGGGGGCAGCCCCUGUGGUCACUUUAUUCUGGGCCCGGGCGGCCCCUCGCGUCCAGCGUCAGCCCAGUCCGCGUACGAGAGUGCCAGUUGCUUCAUAUCCAUGUCCACCUUGCUGCGGUCAGUCUUCCGCUUGGGUCAAGACAAUGAAGGCACAGGAGCAGGGUGCAGGGCGCCAAGUCGGGGAGGCUCAGCUCCACCCUACUCAGGUUUCACCUUGACCAUGAUAAGAAACGUGCAUGAAAACAGUCAAAGAAGGGAAGGCAGAGAAGCGGAGAGCCAGCAGAUUGCUGUGUGCUUAAUGCCCCGCAGUGGGGCAGCGGGAGCAGAAGGCCUGGGAACAGUGUCAGAGGCCGCAGAGAGCCCAGGGAAGACAGCAGAGGACCCAGAGCAAUUUGAGUCAACGUCUGGAUCCCUUGAAGUUGGAGGGCACCCAAGGCCACCCUCAGGUUUACUGAUUCUCCGGAAGCACUCAGAGAGGCGCUGGAAGCCGUUACAGUCAGGGUUACAGUUCAUCACAGAGAAAGGAUGCAGCCUAAAAUCAGCCCAGGGGAGAGACUCAUGGAGGGGGGAGGUCUGCACUCUGGCAUAGCGGGUAAAGCCGCCGCCUGCAGUGCCAGCAUCCCAUAUGGAUGCCAGUUCAAGUCCCAGCUGCUCCACUUCUGAUCCAGCUCUCUGCUGUGGCCUGGGAAAGCAGAAGAUGGCCCAGGUCCUUGGGCCUCUACACCCGUGCGGGAGACCUGGAAGAAGCUCCUGGAUCCUGGCUUCAGAUUGGCUCAGCUCCGGCCAUUGCGGCCAUGUGGAGAGUGAACCAGCAGAUGGAAGGUGGAAAACCUCUCUCUCUCUCUCUCUCU